rnacentral:rRNA from 1 species
CAGCAGCCGCGGGAACACGAAGGGUGCAAGCGUUAAUCGGAAUUACUGGGCGUAAAGCGUGCGUAGGCGGUGAGUUAAGUCUGCUGUGAAAUCCCCGGGCUCAACCUGGGAAUGGCAGUGGAUACUGGCUCGCUAGAGUGUGUCAGAGGAUGGUGGAAUUCCCGGUGUAGCGGUGAAAUGCGUAGAGAUCGGGAGGAACAUCAGUGGCGAAGGCGGCCAUCUGGGACAACACUGACGCUGAGGCACGAAAGCGUGGGGAGCGAACAGGAUUAGAUACCCCUGUAGUCCCUGUCUCUUAUAC